AGGAGGUGGUGUAUUAUUGGAUUUUAACAUAGUAUUUUUCAAUUAGAAAAUUGAUAUUGUGCUAAAGUUCCUGUGAAGACGUCAUUCUAGAAUGUUUGGAAUGGCAGGGAUUGAAAUCACAGUGACUUCCAUUAACAUCAAAUAUGAAAACAACGAAAUUUCGUAUUCUCAAAAAAAGAUUAGGAUUUUUUGGAGAGAAAACGAUGAAACAUACAUUUGUCAUGGCGGUUGGCGUGCAUUCCAACCAAAUUCAGAAAGAACAUCCUGGCCUGACAUACCAUGCAGCUGCAAAGAGUGAGCUUCCCUUCUUGCCCCAAACUUUCUUCAAAUUAGCUCUGCACUGAGGACCUAAAAAGGUUCUGAAAACAUUCCUGUUUUCCAGAAAAAAUAUAUCUCGUAACGAAUCUACAUACCUUCAAACACAUAACUAGAAGGGACUUUUGCUUAACAUGGUCUCUGCUGCCAAAA